CCAGAUGUAAACGAGCCAAUUGAGUUGGAAAGAAGAAACUUUCGAAUGAGAGUCGCUUUCCCACAUCAAGCCGGUUCUACUGCGAGUUUUUUCCAACAUCCUAUCAACAUCGCCAUGAAUCUAGCUAAUCUCAGCAGUUAAAUCUUUGUUUUAUUUGUGAUACCAAUUAGAUCAUGGCUUGCUCAUUAUUUGUGAUAUCAAACCUUAUUCAUGGUAAUUGUACUUGUUGGAUCUUUGUGAUAUUCAAAAGGAGGUAUUUCAGAUCUGCUCUUCAUCGAGCAUCCUUUUUGAUCCUGGGUUUCUCCUACGGUAUCCAAUUAAUUCUUUCAUGAUGUCAGAGAUUAGAUUCUCCUUCAAGACUCAAUCAAAUCUACCGACUAAAUUCAAGUUAUGGAUAAAGCGGAAAAACAAAAGGAGUGGACAAAUAUUUUUCGGGCAUUCUACCGCAUCAUUGGGAUACAAUUGCAUGAAUAGCAACCUCAAUCAAUUGCGUCGGACACCUCUACCUCUAUCUAAGUUACCCAGGACACUGCAAUGUCCAUCAAAAAUACAAGUUUUUUUGUGGAAAGCAUUGACCGAAGACCUUUCGACCUUCGACACCAACAUCCUCCCUCGAUGCAACUUUGAUCCGAAGACGGCUAUUCUUCUCCAUUAUCCAGUAGAUUCAUGGCUUACCAAUGCACCUGUAAUUGAUGAAUCUUGGGGUAUCAUAUACCCUCAUGUAAUAGUUUUUCGGUAGUUAAAUAUAUUUCAUGC